rnacentral:rRNA from 1 species
ACGCUCGACACCUACGGGAGGCAGCAGUGGGGAAUAUUGCACAAUGGGGGAAACCCUGAUGCAGCAACGCCGCGUGAAGGAAGAAGGUUUUCGGAUCGUAAACUUCUAUCAAUAGGGACGAAAGAAAUGACGGUACCUAAAUAAGAAGCCCCGGCUAACUACGUGCCAACAGCCGCGGUAAUCUGAGCGGGCUGGCAAGGC